UAGAUGUGCUUAGGUCUAAUGACCUGACU
rnacentral:piRNA from 1 species